ACUCCUACGGGAGGCAGCAGUGGGGAAUAUUGGACAAUGGGCGAAAGCCUGAUCCAGCCAUGCCGCGUGUGUGAAGAAGGUCUUCGGAUUGUAAAGCACUUUAAGUUGGGAGGAAGGGCGGUAAAUUAAUACUUUGCUGUUUUGACGUUACCGACAGAAUAAGCACCGGCUAACUCUGUGCCAGCAGCCGCGGUAAUACAGAGGGGUGCAAGCGUUAAUCGGAAUUACUGGGCGUAAAGCGCGCGUAGGUGGUUUGUUAAGUUGGAUGUGAAAUCCCCGGGGCUCAACCUGGGAACUGCAUUCAAAACUGACUGACUAGAGUAUGGUAGAGGGUGGUGGAAUUUCCUGUGUAGCGGUGAAAUGCGUAGAUAUAGGAAGGAACACCAGUGGCGAAGGCGACCACCUGGACUAAUACUGACACUGAGGUGCGAAAGCGUGGGGAGCAAACAGGAUUAGAUAA
rnacentral:rRNA from 1 species